rnacentral:rRNA from 1 species
UACGUAGGGUCCGAGCGUUGUCCGGAAUUACUGGGCGUAAAGAGCUUGUAGGCGGUUCGUCGCGUCGUUUGUGAAAACCCGGGGCUCAACUCCGGGCCUGCAGCCGAUACGGGCAGACUAGAGUUCGGCAGGGGAGACUGGAAUUCCUGGUGUAGCGGUGAAAUGCGCAGAUAUCAGGAGGAACACCGGUGGCGAAGGCGGGUCUCUGGGCCGAUACUGACGCUGAGGAGCGAAAGCGUGGGGAGCGAACAGG